CGUGGAGACAGGUGGUGCAUGGCUGUCGUCAGCUCGUGUCGUGAGAUGUUGUGUUAAGUCCCGCAACGAGCGCAACCCUCACCCCUUGUUGCCAUCAGGUCACGCUGGGCACUCUAGGGGAACUGCCCCGGUCAACGGGGAGGAAGGUGGGGACGACGUCAAGUCCUCAUGGCCUUUAUGCCCAGGGCUACACACGUGCUACAAUGGGCGGCACAAAGGGCAGCGACGCCGCGAGGUGUAGCAAAUCCCAAAAAACCGCUCUCAGUUCGGAUCGGAGUCUGCAACUCGACUCCGUGAAGUUGGAAUCGCUAGUAAUCGUGGAUCAGCAUGCCACGGUGAAUACGUUCCCGGGCCUUGUACACACCGCCCGUCACACCACGAAAGUCUGCUGUACUCGAAGUCGCUGAG
rnacentral:rRNA from 1 species